GUCUAAGCAGGGCUCACUGCAAAUGAAUUAUUCCCAAACUUCUACUUUUUCUUUUCCUUCUCCCUCCUUCUAGCAAACAGUGGGGAGAAGCUGAUGCUAAAGAAAUGUUGAUUUCCCAGCCCUGAGGACUUGAAGCAUGCUUUGGGCUUGAAGCUCAGGGGAAAGGCAGGUAGAAUCUGGUUUGGGAAGGGUCAAAAAGAGAACUCAGUGUUACCUGCUGGCUGGAGCAGCAAAGAGGGUUUGUGCUCAGCAGCACUUCUGGGUCUCCUGUGCUGCUUUCAGCUCCAGCUGCUCCCAUCUGCACAGGGGAUGCAAUCCUGUGUGUGCUGCUUCUCCUGAAACAGCAAAUUUCAGUGUAAAUAAAUCCCCACGUGAGAAACACAUCAGAGAGAAGGACUUGGAGCCAGUACGAGUAGGGAGGUCUGAAGUGUUCCCAAAAAUUCCUGAAAGCUCCCAGGGAUUGCUUUUUUUGCUGAAAACUGGGAAAUACUCAACAAGGACAAGGACAACUCCUCAGACCCCCUGGAAGUGCCCAUGAACCACUGAUGCUCUGCAAAUAAUUCAGAGAACUUCCCUGGGUGGUGACUGCUGCAAAUGAGGAGGGAUUGUCUAUUGCCUCAGAGUCUGGGUGGGCUUUAAUUACUUAGCACAAAACGCACAGAAAGAGAAUUUCUGUGAAAUGCUUUCAAUCUAUACAUUAACCUUGCACCAAUUAGAGCAUUUAAUAUAUUGCACAUUUAAGUUAGACUUAAUUUAAUAACACAGCUUAGAUAUCAUUUGAGAUCAAAGAUGCAGAGUCUUUGGAUAUUUUCUCAUCCUUUUCAAUCUCUUCAAGCCCUUGUCAGUGCUUUGGCAUUCUUUUAGGACUGGGUAGAAGCACAUACAGAAAUUUACCACGUUUUAUUAGAAAUGAUUGCUUGUUGCUGUAAUGAAAUGUGAAAAAGGUAACAUAAGGGCCUAAAAGUAGGUGAGAGACUGUAAUAUUGCCUGUUAGAAAUAAUAAACACACUGAGUCACUAAGGGCUAUGUGAGAUCAUCAUGUGGAGAUUAGACAAGAGAAAUGCUGACUGAACCCCAGGGGCAGGUACUGCAGCUCUCCAGAGGGCAGAGGUAUUUCACAAAGAGGGUUUUUAUUUCCUUAUGAAGCCUUUGUCUGUGUUACUGCUCCUGCUGAGUCCUUUCCAUGCACUAUAACACUACAGUGUGCUGUGGAACAAACAAAAAGUCCACAGGAAAUGUGGAUUUCAAAGAAGUCUCCUCUGCUAUCCAGGCUUAUUUCAGUUCUUGUUCACACUUCAUUUUGGCCAUGGGGAGGGAAGGGAGAUCCUUCAGGGCACUGUUCUCCUGGAACAAAGGGGAGUGCAUUGACAACAAACACUUUUUAUAUGGCUGAACUCCCCCAGCUGCCCCCAGGCCCUGCAUCCACAGCACCUCUGACUCAGCUGAGAGGGAUUUCUAAGAAUCAGCCUCACAGAUUGGUUUUGUUUUGCUCUUGCUGUGGGGGAUCAGUAGGAAUGCCACAGUGGAACAGAAGGAAACCCUCCUGCAGCCAGACCUUGCUCUGCCAGCCCCACAAACCCACUCGGGCCAGCUCACAAGCAGCAGCAGGACUGAGAGCAAAUGUGUGAACUCCAGAGCUCCCUGAAGGGCUGCCCUGUGGGCAGGGCUGGGGACAGGAAGGGUUCACUGGUGAGAGCACAGCUGUGCCACAGUGCCACCCUGAUGCACAGCGGGCAGGGAGGAGCUCAGCCCUUCCUCCUGGCCCUCAGGGCUGGGCUGGAACCUCAGUCCAUGGUCUCCUUAGCUGGGGAUGCAGAAAACAGGCUGAGAGGCACAUUUUUACUGAUAAAGUGACUGAAAGGGAAGGCACAGGCACUGUAUCUUCCAGUUAGUCAUCCUUCCUAUAAGAACAUGAAAAAAAACUUUGAUUAGGCUCUUCAGCAUUUGUGUGCAGUCCUUAAUUUUCUCAUUCCAUUCCUACGGAUUUCUUCUUUACCUAACUAUGUAUA